rnacentral:rRNA from 1 species
UACGUAGGGUGCGAGCGUUAAUCGGAAUUACUGGGCGUAAAGCGUGCGUAGGCGGUUCGCUGUGUCCGAUGUGAAAGCCCCGGGCUUAACCUGGGAAUGGCAUUGGAAACUGGCGGGCUUGAGUGCGGCAGAGGGGGGUGGAAUUCCGGCGUGUAGCAGUGAAAUGCGUAGAGAUGCGGAGGAACACCGAUGGCGGAAGGCAGCCCCCUGGGUCGACACUGACGCUCAGGCACGAAAGCGUGGGGAGCAAACAGG